UACGUAGGGCCCGAGCAUUAUCCGGAAUUAUUGGGCGUAAAGAGCGUGUAGGUGGCUCUACAAGUCGGUCGUUAAAUCUCACUGCUCAACAGUGAGGCUGCGAGCGAUACUGUAGGGCUUCGAGGUUUGCAGGGGUGAGCAGAAUUUCUGGAGUAGGGGUGAAAUCCGUUGAUACCAGAAGGAAUACCAAUGGCGAAGGCAGCUCACUGGGCAACACCUGACACUGAGACGCGAAAGCGUGGGGAGCGAACGGG
rnacentral:rRNA from 1 species